ensembl:antisense A730056A06Rik RIKEN cDNA A730056A06 gene
CCGGCUGGCGCUGGUCCCCGCAGCUCAGCGGACUCAGUAGCGACCCGGGGCGCUCCGCCUGCUCCCCGGCUGCAUGCCUGCGAGCGCCUGGAGGAGCGAGCCUCAGGAGCGGCCGGCUGGCCAGUGCUUCCCGGGCGCAGGGCUCGGGCGGCGUAGCUUGCAGUUCCGAGACGCCUGCAGAGUAGGGCGGCCCGGGCUAACCUGCUGCCUCGCCCGGCCUGUCGCCGCCACCGCCACCGCUGAGCGCGGCGUCGCGAGAAAAGGAAACAAAAGCACAGAGAGGUUAACACUUUAUCCAAAGCCCCCGGCUAUCAAGAGUGAGCCUACAGCUUGAAGAUGAUCCUGAGCCUGUGAUGUAUCCUGCCUGGAGGCUUUGUGUGCACAUCCCAGAACAACUGCUCUCCAUCCCGCAGAGGGAUGUGCAUAACGUGGGCAUUUUCACCGCUGUAAUGAUGCCCGGGGACAGGGGAUAUGACAUUUAGUAGCCAAGAGACAAAGAUGCCAGCUGUCUCAAUGCAUAGACCCC